AAGAAUAACCAAUUUAUUCUUAAAUUUCAGCUUUGUUUUACCCCCGACUUCACCAGAAGCCUACUUCGAUAUUUUAACAUAAAAUCUGAUAACGUGGGAUAGCUCACAAAAUCGCGUUAAUAGUAGACAGGACACCAAAAGGUCCGAUGAAGAUCCCAAUAUUCCCUGUGAAUCCUCCAAACUUGAAUAAUUCACUAGUGGCUUUUCCCGCAACGAUUUUCCUCAAAUCACAGGGCGGAAAAUCACGCGGGACACGAAACCUCUCAUUUUCGUAAUUACAGAGUAGAGUGAAAAGUAUAUGUUCGGAUGGGAUCCCAUGAAAGGUAUUACUUCGACGCGACAAACUAACUUUGCAUUAACCACAGAAGGUCUAGACCCGUCGUAACUUAAAAUCGACGUGUAAGGUUAAAAUUAACUGAAGAUGUGUUUGGAUUUUCCAACCAGAAUAUAAUAAUAAUGAAACCUCGUUGAGCAGAAACUACUAUUCGAGUUCCGAUUUUGUUGUAUGCUCCUUCUAAGACCCAGGGGACUGACCUUCCUUUCUCGCCUGUACUUGGAAAUAUGAACCACGCCCGACCGCAUCAAUCCAUCCUGAACUUCUCAAAACGCUUUAUGAUGACUUCAGGAAUAUGGCGACUGCCCACCAUUAAUUGUCCCACCAUAGCUAAAAUCUACGCUGUCUAUUCCACCACUAUUCAAACGUUCUACUCUAUCGUAGCGGUGUCCUUUGGCAUCCAAUUCGCGUCCACUUUUAUCGACAAGUUCGCGAAAAACUCGGAAGCAGUCUUCAAAGAGGCUUCAUACAUCAUAACUCUAGUCAUUAUUGAAUACGCCUCGAUCGUAUGCCAGAGGAAGAAUAUGAGGAAUAUAAUGACGUUUAUCUUACACGAAGAACACCAUAUAUUCGAAAACGAGGACGAAGAUGUCCGCAAGACCUAUCUCGGACAUCUGAAGUUCUGCUGGAAAUCGAACGCGGUGCUCUUCGCGUUUACCUGUUGCAGCGGCGCAGCCAUAGUCUUGGAAAACUUGGUACUACAGCUGGAAGUGCAUAAACUGAACCGGGAGCUCAACGAGACCCGUCCAAAACCCCUACCCUUGGAUUUAUACUAUUGGCAGUUCGACCCUGAUAAAUAUGAUACGUUCUUACUGAUCGUACAUGAUGUCUGGUUGACCAAUACGAUGUUCCUGAUCGUAUCCACCAAAACGAUCGUUUUUACGUGCAUCAUAUUCGCGCCCUCCAUUAUGACAAGGUUGCAGAUGAAGUUGAACACGCUGAAGGAAGGGGAGGUUUGGUCCAGCGUGAAGAAACUGGCACGAGAGCACCAGAAGAUCAUCGAGUUUGUCGAACAAUUAAAUGAUUCUAUAAAAUACUUAAUUCUGCUGGAAUAUCUGCUCAACUCGCUCAACGUCGCGACCAUCUCUGUUCAAUUUAUAACGGACGAUAAGAAAAUGAUAGCAGGACUUGUGUUUUACCUCAGCUUCCUAUUCGUGCAGACUUUUAUCCUAGGUUGGAGCGCCAAUGAAAUCAAACUGCAGAGCACGGCUUUAUCAGACGCUAUGUACCAGACUUCGUGGUAUAACCAGAGCCGGUACAUUCAGAAGAUGCUGUUGACAAUGAUGGUCCAAAGUCAGAAGCCUCUGGCGGUGACAGUCGGCCCUUUCGAGGCCAUGACGACGCAGUCUGCUCUAACGGUGAUGAAGGCUUCAUAUUCCUACGUGACGCUGAUGAUGAAUAAUUAUGACAAGCGGUACCAACUUUAGAAAUAUCGUAUGGAACUUUCCAGUCGUUGUAAAUAUUAAAUUUGAGAAUUGAUUUUUAAGCCUGCGACAAUUUACUUAUCUUUCCAUUUUCUGGCUAAAACACUACGUCAAAAAAUUAUCAAACACUCAGCGGUAUUCCGAAAUUAUACUCGCGGCAUAAUAAUAUGUGUUAAUACUUCGUCAAUGCUUCAUACGCUCCUGUUCCCACAAAAAUAUUCAUAUUGAUGAACGCUUGGGGAAGAGAAACGCAAGGUCCCGUUUUUCCAAUAAUUAUAGGGAAAGUGAAUGCGGAAAUGCACACAUGCCCUGUAACGUUCCCUGUAAUAAAAGCUUGUAGGAGGAGCUCGCAUUUUGGAGACAAGUUUUGUUCUCUCAGUCCUCAGUUCUAGGCAUACUGGUGCUGUGGUUCAACAUAACCUAUAGAAAGUUUUUUUUUGCCUAUCCAAUAUUCGUUGACGUUAAUUGGUGAUCAAUUGGGACAUAUUGUUUAGCAUAUUGGGUCCCGCUGCUGUGCAGAAUGAUGAAUAUAGUCGACAGACGAAUCCUAAAUUUUUCAAAGUACUGUAUGAUUUUUGUCGGCAUAUGGCGACUAAGAUUGCCCAUCGAAAGCAACACCCUUCGCAAAA